AAUUAAUUGGUCUUUUUUAUGCACGAUCUCCACGCAUUACUAAUAAGAGUAUUAUUAAUGCGUGGAGAUUGUGCAUAAAAAAAGACCAAUUAAUGAUUCUUGUUGAUGAGCCCAAGCAGUUCCUCUGCAAGAGCAAUCAGCAAAGCUAUCAAUCAUCCAGACUUGGUAUUACCUGAUGGUCCUGAAAGUACCUUGAUGAUCCCUUUGUUAACUCCAGAGAGACCCUUUAAAAUUGACCACUUUUAUAGCCUUAGCCAAAACAAGAUGGACCAUCAUAAUGAUGCAUUGUCCUUUUUCAUCCUUGCUUCAAUCCAGAACUCUCCAGUUCUCAAUUUUGAGUCCCAGAUUGUAGCCAAAAGUUUAUUC
rnacentral:lncRNA from 1 species